rnacentral:rRNA from 1 species
UACAGAGGUCUCAAGCGUUGUUCGGAUUCAUUGGGCGUAAAGGGUGCGUAGGUGGCGCCGUAAGUCGGGUGUGAAAUUUCGGAGCUUAACUCCGAAACUGCAUUCGAUACUGCCGUGCUUGAGGACUGGAGAGGAGACUGGAAUUUACGGUGUAGCGGUGAAAUGCGUAGAUAUCGUAAGGAAGACCAGUGGCGAAGGCGGAUCUCUGGACAGUUACUGACACUGAGGCACGAAGGCCCAGGGGGAGCAAACGGG